rnacentral:rRNA from 1 species
GACGAACGCUGGCGGCGUGCCUAAUACGUGCAAGUUGAGCGCUGAAGGUUGGUACUUGUACCAACUGGAUGAGCAGCGAACGGGUGAGUAACGCGUGGGGAAUCUGCCUUUGAGCGGGGGACAACAUUUGGAAACGAAUGCUAAUACCGCAUAAAAACUUUAAACACAAGUUUUAAGUUUGAAAGAUGCAAUUGCAUCACUCAAAGAUGAUCCCGCGUUGUAUUAGCUAGUUGGUGAGGUAAAGGCUCACCAAGGCGAUGAUACAUAGCCGACCUGAGAGGGUGAUCGGCCACAUUGGGACUGAGACACGGCCCAAACUCCUACGGGAGGCAGCAGUAGGGAAUCUUCGGCAAUGGACGAAAGUCUGACCGAGCAACGCCGCGUGAGUGAAGAAGGUUGUCGGAUCGUAAAACUCGGUUGGUAGAGAAGAACGUUGGUGAGAGUGGAAAGCUCAUCAAGUGACGGUAACUACCCAGAAAGGGACGGCUAACUACGUG